ensembl:rRNA 5S_rRNA 5S ribosomal RNA
ACGUAUGGCCAUACCAUCCUGAAAAUGACAAAUCUCGUCUGACCUCAGAAGCUAAGCAGGAUGAGGCCUGGUUAGUACUUGGUUGGCAGACAGCUUGGGAAUACCAGGUGCUGUAAGCU